rnacentral:tRNA from 1 species
GGUUGUGGCUCAGUGGCAGAGUGCUCGCCUAGCACGUGCGAGGUGCUGGGUUUGAUUCUCAGCACCA